AGAGUUUGAUCCUGGCUCAGAUUGAACGCUGGCGGCAUGCCUUACACAUGCAAGUCGAACGGCAGCACGGGAGCAAUCCUGGUGGCGAGUGGCGAACGGGUGAGUAAUACAUCGGAACGUGUCCUGUAGUGGGGGAUAGCCCGGCGAAAGCCGGAUUAAUACCGCAUACGCUCUACGGAGGAAAGGGGGGGAUCUUAGGACCUCCCGCUACAGGGGCGGCCGAUGGCAGAUUAGCUAGUUGGUGGGGUAAAGGCCUACCAAGGCGACGAUCUGUAGCUGGUCUGAGAGGACGACCAGCCACACUGGGACUGAGACACGGCCCAGACUCCUACGGGAGGCAGCAGUGGGGAAUUUUGGACAAUGGGGGAAACCCUGAUCCAGCAAUGCCGCGUGUGUGAAGAAGGCCUUCGGGUUGUAAA
rnacentral:rRNA from 1 species